rnacentral:rRNA from 1 species
AUUGAACGCUGGCGGCAGGCUUAACACAUGCAAGUCGAGCGGUAGCACAGGGGAGCUUGCUCCCUGGGUGACGAGCGGCGGACGGGUGAGUAAUGUCUGGGAAACUGCCUGAUGGAGGGGGAUAACUACUGGAAACGGUAGCUAAUACCGCAUAACGUCGCAAGACCAAAGAGGGGGACCUUCGGGCCGCUUGCCAUCAGAUGUGCCCAGAUGGGAUUAGCUAGUAGGUGGGGUAAUGGCUCACCUAGGCGACGAUCCCUAGCUGGUCUGAGAGGAUGACCAGCCACACUGGAACUGAGACACGGUCCAGACUCCUACGGGAGGCAGCAGUGGGGAAUAUUGCACAAUGGGCGCAAGCCUGAUGCAGCCAUGCCGCGUGUGUGAAGAAGGCCUUCGGGUUGUAAAGCACUUUCAGCGAGGAGGAAGGUGGUGAGCUUAAUACGUUCAUCAAUUGACGUUACUCGCAGAAGAAGCACCGGCUAACUCCGUG